CAGCUCCAGUAGAGUUCCUCUCUCAUGUAAAACACAAGCCUGGAACACAUUUAAGAGAUGCAAUCAGCCUCUUCCUCGAAGCGUUAAAGGAAAGCCAAGGUGCUACAUUUAUGCGGGUUUCUGACCAGCUUACCUGAUGUUAACUUUUAUCUCUAUAUGGAUGUUCUGUAUUUUUGCCGGAGUGGUGAUCAGAAGCAACAGUGACAAAACAAAUACUGGGCGUCAACUUACAUUGUCCAUCCAAAGCACAUGGGAAAUUCUUCUUCAAGCAUGGCUGGACAUUAUUUCUGCACAGAAAGCUUUUAAAAGAUUCGGGAAAAGGAAAAAAUGUGAUAGGAAGUCAUGAAUAUCUAUAAGUAUUAGCAUCUAAGAAUGAUGCAUCUCUGGAGAGUGCAUGUACACACGAACUUACACAAUGCUGUUGCUUCCCAAUAGCCAAUCAGUGCAGCUCUACUGUCAUUCUGGGUGCAGUUAUUUGCUACAGCCAUGUUUGCCCAUCCAAGGAACAUCCGGUUAGCGAUAUCCAACACGGUCAAGUGUACUUACAGCUGGAGGAGAUGAGGGAGAUCAGCAAAGUCUGGUGGGAGCUGGCCGGUGAAGUUCUGUUCCUUGAGGAAUCUGCAAAGAUGAUCGGAAGAACAGUGCAACAGGUUUCCCCCAAUGUUUUACGAGAAGCGCCAAGGAGUUAUGCAUACAUACAUCUCAGUGGCAUGGCAUAUGGUAUUGUUGUUGAAGGAGCAG